rnacentral:rRNA from 1 species
UGGGGAAUUUUGGACAAUGGGCGAAAGCCUGAUCCAGCAAUGCCGCGUGUGUGAAGAAGGCCUUCGGGUUGUAAAGCACUUUUGCCCGGAAAGAAAUCCUUGGCUCUAAUACAGUCGGGGGAUGACGGUACCGGAAGAAUAAGCACCGGCUAACUACGUGCCAGCAGCCGCGGUAAUACGUAGGGUGCAAGCGUUAAUCGGAAUUACUGGGCGUAAAGCGUGCGCAGGCGGUUUGCUAAGACCGAUGUGAAAUCCCCGGGCUCAACCUGGGAACUGCAUUGGUGACUGGCAGGCUAGAGUAUGGCAGAGGGGGGUAGAAUUCCACGUGUAGCAGUGAAAUGCGUAGAGAUGUGGAGGAAUACCGAUGGCGAAGGCAGCCCCCUGGGCCAAUACUGACGCUCAUGCACGAAAGCGUGGGGAGCAAACAGGAUUAGAUACCCCUGGUAGUCCACGCCCUAAAACGAUGUCAACUAGUUGUUGGGGAUUCAUUUCCUUAGUAACGUAGCUAACGCGUGAAGUUGACCGCCUGGGGAGUACGGUCGCAAGAUUAAAACUCAAAUGAAUUGACGGGGUCAUAGCUGUUUCCU